UUGUGCUUCCCUUAUAAAAAGUCUCGCCUCUGCAUUCAUUAAUUCACAUACACAAAGUAGGUUGGUAGAGAUUUGUUUAGCAGAUCUGAAAUGGGAGAUGAGUUUAUCAGGAAAACUAUGGGGAUUGGUGGGUUGGAAAGCUUUUCCCUUCUGAUUGAUUAAACGCUUUCCAAUUCCACCCAUUCCUAUGGUUUUUCAGUAAUCUCUCCCUUUUCUCAUGCUUUGGUUUUCUCACUUCAGAGAUCAUACAGAUGAACUUUGAAUGGAACAGGUAAAAUUUAAUUCUUCUGCUGCUGCAUUAAGAAAACACAUUUUUUUCACCUUGGCCAUCUAACAAGUUCCGAUUGAUAACUAAUUGAGCUGUCCUUAUUGAAACAUUUGAACAGAUAUUGUCAUUUUCUGGCCCUUCAACUGUGAUGAUGUACAUUCCUGUAUUUCGGUCUCUCAAACAAACACAUCUAAAUUGAUUGGGAAUGUUGUAGAAAAAUCUUUGGUUUUCCUUACAAUAUCGUUAUCUCGCGAUCACUUUGUUAGGCUCUUUAUUUACUAAAGGUUAAUAGUAUUAGUACUCCAUUUUAAGUUUGCACGUGAUAGUGUGAGAGCAAUCUUAUCUCCUAUAAAGAUGUAACAACUUCCACGAUUCAAUCAGUUAUCACCGGCUGAACUUGGUAUGUUUGGUGUAAAUCUUAUAUUCCUCUUUGAGAAAUUUAUUGAAUAAUUACAAAGUAUUAAUUUAGAACUCAAUAACUUAAAACAACUAAAACCCAAUAGUAACUCAUAAGUUUCAAAUUCUAGCUCCGCUUUUACCGAUUAUGCCGUUGCGUCGCCUUUCUUGUUUCAGAUCAAAGUGGUCUUAAUUUUAAAUUGUAAUAGGAGAUUAAUUAUUAUUUUUACCUGAAUACAGUCAGAUCUCUCUAUAACAACAUCCAUAUAUAACAACAUUUCACCAUAAAAGCCAAG
rnacentral:lncRNA from 1 species